rnacentral:lncRNA from 1 species
AUGUUUUCUCUUAUAAUAAAUCAGCAAAACAAUACUUUCAGCCAUGAUUUUUCAGACAAGUGGAUAGACUUAUUAUGUAGUACAUGCCUUGUUUAGUUCCCUUACGAAAACUUUACGGGCUAUUGUAGCACUUUUGUUUGUAUGCGGCAAUUAUUGUCUAAUUAUAGACUAACUAGACUUAAAAGAUUUGUCUCGCAAAUUACAAAUGAACUGUAUAAUUAAUUAUUUUAUCUGUAUUUAAUGUGUGUCGUAAGAUUUGAUGUGAUGAGAAAUCUUAAAAAGUUUUUUUUUUUAUCUUUUAGCUUUUGGGAGGAACUAAACAAGGCCACAGUCAUAACCGGUUAUUGACAUACCGAACAUAGGAGUAUGCAAUAGCAGCAGCACCCACGAUCUCAGCACGCUUUGAUGUAAUUAAUGAACCCAAUUAGUACUGCUAUUAAAUAAAUCGACGAUCACCUGCUGCUGCUACGCCUGCCUGCAAAGUCAAGAGCUUGGAGACCAGACAGUCCAUAGAGAGACAACCUUAUGCCAGUGCCUGCCUCGUAGACCCGUUGCACGCACGGGGCCACACCGCCAGAGCAGCAUCUGCAUCCUGGCACGCCCAGGCCAAGUUCGCCGGUCCAUGCGGCCGGUGCAGCGAGGCGCGUGGCCUGGUGGUGGCAGAGCCGUUGGGAUCGGUUGGCUGCCUCCGCGCCACCGUUGGUUGCUAGCGGGUCGGCACGGCCACACAACGCACGGAUCUGAGUGCGGAGUGCCGCGCUCCCGUCCACAUCGCGCACC